CCCCUCUUAGGGUCGCACCUGGAGAGUUUCCAGUACUCUACCAGUCUCAAUUAUAGGAGGGAGAGUCAAGCAGAAACAUACCCAUUCCAUUCCUAGUUUGGACAGUGACUAGUGAGUGGAAGGUAGUCUUCUACAAGU
rfam:Ornithorhynchus anatinus chromosome X5, whole genome shotgun sequence.